GCCGAGAAGCCCCGGAGGCCCAGUGAGCACGGGGAGGGGCUAGACGCUAGCUGGACAACCAUUAGCAGGCUGGGGCCGGGCGGCUCGGGGACUACAUUUCCCAGGACACCAAGCGCUCGCGCCCGGAAGCGACGCGCCUUGGGCUCAGUGCGCAGGCGCCGCCAUAGUCUAUAUAAGGCAGGU
rnacentral:lncRNA from 1 species